CCUACGGGGCGCAGCAGUGAGGAAUAUUGGUCAAUGGGAGGAAUCCUGAACCAGCCAUGCCGCGUGCAGGACGACGGCUCUACGAGUUGUAAACUGCUUUUGUACCGGGGUAAAAUGCCUUACGAGUAGGGUUUUGAAAGUACGGUACGAAUAAGGAUCGGCUAACUCCGUGCCAGCAGCCGCGGUAAUACGGAGGAUCCAAGCGUUAUCCGGAUUUAUUGGGUUUAAAGGGUGCGUAGGCGGAUUGAUAAGUUAGAGGUGAAAUGUCCGAGCUUAACUCGGGAACUGCCUCUAAUACUGUUGAU
rnacentral:rRNA from 1 species